AUUGAACGCUGGCGGCAUGCCUUACACAUGCAAGUCGAACGGCAGCACGGGAGCUUGCUCCUGGUGGCGAGUGGCGAACGGGUGAGUAAUACAUCGGAACGUACCCAGUAGUGGGGGAUAACGCACCGAAAGGUGCGCUAAUACCGCAUACGACCCAAGGGUGAAAGCGGGGGACCGUAAGGCCUCGCGCUAUUGGAGCGGCCGAUGUCUGAUUAGCUAGUUGGUGAGGUAAAGGCUCACCAAGGCUUCGAUCAGUAGCUGGUCUGAGAGGACGAUCAGCCACACUGGGACUGAGACACGGCCCAGACUCCUACGGAGGCAGCAGUGGGGAAUUUUGGACAAUGGGCGAAAGCCUGAUCCAGCAAUGCCGCGUGUGCGAAGAAGGCCUUCGGGUUGUAAAGCACUUUUGUCAGGGAAGAAAUCUUUUAGGCUAAUACCUUGGAAGGAUGACGGUACCUGAAGAAUAAGCACCGGCUAACUACGUGCCAGCCGCCGCCGUAA
rnacentral:rRNA from 1 species